rnacentral:misc_RNA from 1 species
GGCAAUGGAUAUCUCGGCUCCCGCAUCUAUGAAGAACGCAGCGAAAUGCGAUACAUGGUGUGAAUUGCAGAUUCUCGUGAAUCAUUGAGUUUUUGAACGCAAGUUGCGCCCGAAGCCAUUUUUUGGUCGACGGCACGCCUGCCUGGGUGCCGUGCAUGGGGUUGUCCCAGGACCUCCUCCGACGGGAGACUCGUUUCUGCUGCUGGUUUCCGGGAGAGAAGGGACCACGGGGGUUGACGCUGGCCUUCCGUUCUAUGUUGUACGGUUGGUUUAAAUUCGGGGUCCCAGGCGACAUGAGUCGCGAUGAGUUGGGGAAGACAAUGUUUGUCCCUUGUCGGCCGGUGAGCCCCCCUGCGGUCCCAUGGCCUCGUUGACACCUUGACGGAGAAGCCAUCCAGGCCCC